CAUCGAGGUCAUAAACUUACUUGUCAAUAAGAACUUUCUAAGUAAAUAAAGCUGUUAUCCCUAAAGUAACUUAUUUCUUUUUUAGAAUUUCUAGAUAUAAAAACAAGCAUGUAAUAUUUUCUCAAGAAGAGCUUUUCUUCCCACCACCCCAGUGAAAUACUUUCAUUCCUUUCUUAAAAGAAGAAAAAUAUAAAGUUUUAUAGGGUCUUCUCGUCCAAAAGAAAAAUUUUAGCCUUCUUACUAAAAAGUAAAUUUUAUCUUAUUAAUUUUAAAAAAAUUCUCUCGGUUUACUCUUUCAUACCAGUCUUCAAUUAAAAGA
rnacentral:rRNA from 1 species